AGGACUCCAGCUUCUGCCUGUUCCAGAUGCCAUCCAUUGUCUGAGCAGGAGGACUCUCCAGCGAGGCUUCGCAGUGAGAGAGCAGAUCUUCGAGGACUGGCAUGUGGCCAGGCCAUGUGCUGUCCCGUCCCCUCUUAGACUUAAGGCCGCUCGAAGGGAGCCCCUGGAGCUAGAGUUAUAAACAACUGUGAACCACCAGCUCCAAGCCUGGGAACCGAACUCAGGUCCUUGGGUACUUCCUGGAGCGGACACAGCCGUCAGUAUCAGGACCGCACUGUAGAACAACCUAACCGCAGACCCUCUCCAGUUCCGCCAUUGAGCCUAUCUGAAGCGAGCCUUUGAUCUACCCCUCAUCUUCUGUCACUCUGGAAUUUUCUAAUAAAAAUACUUCUUUUUAA